AUUGAACGCUGGUGGCAUGCUUUACACAUGCAAGUCGAACGGCAGCACGGGUGCUUGCACCUGGUGGCGAGUGGCGAACGGGUGAGUAAUGCAUCGGAACGUAUCCAAUAAUGGGAGAUAACGCAUCGAAAGGUGUGCUAAUACCGCAUACGCCCUGAGGGGGGAAAGUGGGGGACCGUAAGGCCUCACGUUAAUGGAGCGGCCGAUGCCUGAUUAGCUAGUUGGUAAGGUAAAGGCUCACCAAGGCGACGAUCAGUAGCUGGUCUGAGAGGAUGAUCAGCCACACUGGGACUGAGACACGGCCCAGACUCCUACGGGAGGCAGCAGUGGGGAAUUUUGGACAAUGGGCGCAAGCCUGAUCCAGCCAUGCCGCGUGAGUGAAGAAGGCCUUCGGGUUGUAAAGCUCUUUCGCAAGGGAAGAAAACUUAGUUCUUAAUACGAGCUGAGGAUGACGGUACCUUGAUAAGAAGCACCGGCUAACUACGUGCCAGCCGCCGCAGUAACAC
rnacentral:rRNA from 1 species